rnacentral:rRNA from 1 species
GACGAACGCUGGCGGCGUGCUUAACACAUGCAAGUCGAACGGAAAGGCCCUGCUUUUGUGGGGUGCUCGAGUGGCGAACGGGUGAGUAACACGUGAGUAACCUGCCCUUGACUUUGGGAUAACUUCAGGAAACUGGGGCUAAUACCGGAUAGGAGCUCCUGCUGCAUGGUGGGGGUUGGAAAGUUUCGGCGGUUGGGGAUGGACUCGCGGCUUAUCAGCUUGUUGGUGGGGUAGUGGCUUACCAAGGCUUUGACGGGUAGCCGGCCUGAGAGGGUGACCGGCCACAUUGGGACUGAGAUACGGCCCAGACUCCUACGGUAGGCAGCAGUGGGGAAUAUUGCACAAUGGGCGGAAGCCUGAUGCAGCAACGCCGCGUGCGGGAUGACGGCCUUCGGGUUGUAAACCGCUUUCGCCUGUGACGAAGCGUGAGUGACGGUAAUGGGUAAGGAAGCACCGGCUAACUACGUG